CGCGACGGUGAGUAACACGUGACUAACCUACCCUCAAGUGGGGAAUAACCUAGAGAAAUCUGGGCUAAUACCGCAUAACACUUACGAGUCAAAGCAGCAAUGCGCUUGAGGAGGGGGUCGCGGCAGAUUAGCUAGUUGGCGGGGUAAUGGCCCACCAAGGCAAUGAUCUGUAUCCGGCCUGAGAGGGCGCACGGACACACUGGAACUGAAACACGGUCCAG
rnacentral:rRNA from 1 species